rnacentral:tRNA from 1 species
AUUUAAAUAGCUUAAUUUUAGAGUAUAAUAUUGAAGAUAUUAUGGUGAUUUUAUAUAAUCUUUAGAUA